GCUUGCUCUUCUUGGAUGAGUUGCGAACGGGUGAGUAACGCGUAGGUAACCUGCCUUGUAGCGGGGGAUAACUAUUGGAAACGAUAGCUAAUACCGCAUAACAAUGGAUGACACAUGUCAUUUAUUUGAAAGGGGCAAUUGCUCCACUACAAGAUGGACCUGCGUUGUAUUAGCUAGUAGGUGAGGUAAUGGCUCACCUAGGCGACGAUACAUAGCCGACCUGAGAGGGUGAUCGGCCACACUGGGACUGAGACACGGCCCAGACUCCUACGGGAGGCAGCAGUAGGGAAUCUUCGGCAAUGGGGGCAACCCUGACCGAGCAACGCCGCGUGAGUGAAGAAGGUUUUCGGAUCGUAAAGCUCUGUUGUAAGUCAAGAACGGGUGUGAGAGUGGAAAGUUCACACUGUGACGGUAGCUUACCAGAAAGGGACGGCUAACUACGUGCCAGCAGCCGCGGUAAUACGUAGGUCCCGAGCGUUGUCCGGAUUUAUUGGGCGUAAAGCGAGCGCAGGCGGUUUGAUAAGUCUGAAGUUAAAGGCUGUGGCUCAACCAUAGUUCGCUUUGGAAACUGUCAAACUUGAGUGCAGAAGGGGAGAGUGGAAUUCCAUGUGUAGCGGUGAAAUGCGUAGAUAUAUGGAGGAACACCGGUGGCGAAAGCGGCUCUCUGGUCUGUAACUGACGCUGAGGCUCGAAAGCGUGGGGAGCGAACAGGAUUAGAUACCCUGGUAGUCCACGCCGUAAACGAUGAGUGCUAGGUGUUGGAUCCUUUCCGGGAUUCAGUGCCGCAGCUAACGCAUUAAGCACUCCGCCUGGGGAGUACGACCGCAAGGUUGAAACUCAAAGGAAUUGACGGGGGCCCGCACAAGCGGUGGAGCAUGUGGUUUAAUUCGAAGCAACGCGAAGAACCUUACCAGGUCUUGACAUCCCGAUGCUAUUUCUAGAGAUAGAAAGUUACUUCGGUACAUCGGUGACAGGUGGUGCAUGGUUGUCGUCAGCUCGUGUCGUGAGAUGUUGGGUUAAGUCCCGCAACGAGCGCAACCCCUAUUGUUAGUUGCCAUCAUUCAGUUGGGCACUCUAGCGAGACUGCCGGUAAUAAACCGGAGGAAGGUGGGGAUGACGUCAAAUCAUCAUGCCCCUUAUGACCUGGGCUACACACGUGCUACAAUGGUUGGUACAACGAGUUGCGAGUCGGUGACGGCGAGCUAAUCUCUUAAAGCCAAUCUCAGUUCGGAUUGUAGGCUGCAACUCGCCUACAUGAAGUCGGAAUCGCUAGUAAUCGCGGAUCAGCACGCCGCGGUGAAUACGUUCCCGGGCCUUGUACACACCGCCCGUCACACCACGAGAGUUUGUAACACCCGAAGUCGGUGAGGUAACUU
rnacentral:rRNA from 1 species